rnacentral:tRNA from 1 species
GGAGGGAUGGCAGAGUGGUCGAUCGCGCCUGACUUGAAAUCAGGUGAACCGCAAGGUUCCGUGGGUUCGAAUCCCACUCCCUCCGCCA